AACGAGCGCUGGCGGCAUGCCUAACACAUGCAAAUCGAACGAGAUCUUCGGGUCUAGUGGCGCACGGGUGCGUAACGCGUGGGAAUCUGCCCUUUGGUUCGGAAUAACAGUUGGAAACGACUGCUAAUACCGGAUGACGACGAAAGUCCAAAGAUUUAUCGCCAGAGGAUGAGCCCGCGUAGGAUUAGCUAGUCGGUGUGGUAAAGGCGCACCAAGGCGACGAUCCUUAGCUGGUCUGAGAGGAUGAUCAGCCACACUGGGACUGAGACACGGCCCAGACUCCUACGGGGGGCAGCAGUGGGGAAUAUUGGACAAUGGGCGAAAGCCUGAUCCAGCAAUGCCGCGUGAGUGAUGAAGGCCUUAGGGUUGUAAAGCUCUUUUACCCGGGAUGAUAAUGACAGUACCGGGAGAAUAAGCUCCGGCUAACUCCGUGCCAGCCGCCGCCGUAA
rnacentral:rRNA from 1 species